rnacentral:rRNA from 1 species
CCCUUAGAUGUUCUGGGCCGCACGCGUGCUACACUGAGUGGAUCAGCGGGUCAGGUUGCGCGAAAGCGUUUCCUAAUCUUUAAAUCCGCUCGUGAUGGGGAUUGACGGUUGCAAUUUUCUGUCAUGAACGAGGAAUACCUUGUAAGCGCGGGUCAUCAUCCCGCGCUGAAUACGUCCCUGCCCUUUGUACACACCGCCCGUCGCUACUACCGAUUGAACGGUUUAGUGAGGGCCUCGGAUUGGUCUCGGCCCGCUCUUUACCGGGCGGCGCCGUUGGUCGAGAAGACGCUCGAACUUGAUCGUUUAGAGGAAGUAAAGGUCGUAACA